rnacentral:lncRNA from 1 species
UUUUUUUUUUUUUUUUUUUUUGUAAACUACACCAAAAAGUUAGAAGAGAUAUAAUACAGAACAAUUUGUGCCUGCAAAUUUCUUCUUGUUCCAUGGAACCCCAAAUGCUGACCACUUUGAAAACGUCAGCUAUAACGAUCAAUUUGUAGACUCCACUUGCACCCUAAAUCUAGAUACCAAUAAUCCUACAUGACUGAAAACAAACAUUUCUAUUGCCUUAUGUGAAGAACUACAGGGAACAAUUCCAUGGAUAUCCAGAACCAGUAAAGGAGAUGCAACUCAUUGGCUACCAGGCUCACCUGAGCAUUUCUUGCUCCAAACAUCUGAACCGGUUUUUCGCUCCCCUCUUUUUCUCUUGUUUCUUGGAAAGUUUACAUCUAAACCUAAGCAUGAUUCUACAGUUGAUGAAGGAGUUGCACAAGGACCUUGUUUGGCUUCCUCUGGUUGUUGCUGAUGGUUCUCUUUGGUUUCAUCUCCCAUCCUUCGGACCAUGAGCUUCUCUCCUUCUGCCGCAUUGUAUAUCAAGACAUUAUCCACAAUCUGUAAAUUUUAACAAACCCAAGAUUUCAAAUUAGGCAAAUAACGGAGUUUAAUUAAUAUGUUAGGGCUAAGGUCGGGAAAUACUUCCUAGGUUUCAAAUAUUGUCAAGCAAAGAAACAAGACCUAAUUAUUGGCUUCAUAAGUUACUGAUACAAGGUGUUCUCACACCUAUUUAUGCAAUUAGCAUGUUAAGGAAAUUACUAUGAAGUUGCCACAAGGGAACUGAUCAAUGGGGAUAUGAAAAACAGCAUAAUUGGUAUAUACUAAAUUCCCAGACAUUCCCAGAAGUAGCUACAUAUGCACACAAAAAUUUUCAGUUUCUAUUUUUCCCAAAAGAAUCUGAAAUCGCCUCAAGGGUACUGAUCAGUAAGAAAUGCAAAACGAAUGCAGUUUAAAGAACGGCAUCUUAAUUUGGUUCAAGAAAGGUUGGCAUGCAGUGGGUUUAAGACAUGGCAUCCAGUAUGUCAAUCCUACCAUAUUGCAUACUAGAGAACUAACAGAGUUGAUCAUAUAUGUAAUAUGAUGUAAGAAAGGGUAACAGAUGAAUAUAAUAAGGUCAUAAAUGGCUAAAGCAGAUUUUUGCCCAUUUUAUGUAAAUAGAGAGAUUUCUCUUUAUAUAUGAACCCAUAUUCAAACAGUAAAACAUUUUCCAGUUUAUCUUACGUAAUUAUCUGAACUGUGAAAAGAAUGCGGAAAUGCCAUGAGGUAGGGUGAAAAUGAUAAAUUACGCUUUGUUGCGAAUGCUUACAUCUUCACUUGAUUCACUAAACUGCGGCUGAUGUAAGAUGACAUCAGUAGCAGACAGUAGUCCCACAGAGCUUUCUAUUAUAUCAGAAGCAGGCAUAGCCUCCCCGAAACUGGAAACUACACUUUCAGGCAUGACUAGAUCCCCAAUAUUGAACUCUGAAGUUUGCUGAGUUGUGGCAUAUAUUCCAUCUCCAUUGCCAGCAGAGAAAGCCGGACUAUGGGCAGAGCUGGCCUGUCCAUCACAGGGUACAAGAACGCUCAAAUUCUCAGAGGAAGAAAAUAUAGCAGCAGUUUUGGGCAUCACCACAUCAAUUUGAUUCUUCAGCUUGUGAACCCAAGAGUGCAGCGUCUCAAUUUUCCAAAGGACGUGCUCCAAGGACUUGUCACCAUCUCGAAACUCAAGGAGCGACCACUCAUCGGCUGUGCUGAGCUUAUCAUUGUGAUCAGCGCUGUGUUCUGUGAUUACUAACAGACACGAAUGGCAAAAUAAGUUUCGAGUAAUUAUUGGGGAAAAACUUGAAGAUUCCAAUUAAAAAAAACUAGACACAAACAUUGUAGCUCAAUAAGGAAAUAUUAUGGUGCAUAGCAACACUCAAAUGAUCAGAUUGGAAGGAAUGAAGAAUCAUACAGAUUAACAUGCCAAAGGAUUUAUGGCUACCCAAGAGUAAACAAAAGGAAUAUUGGCUUCAUUCCUUUUAAAGUCAAUAAAUGGAUAUCUUUAUAUCUUUUUCAGUAAAAAAAAUUCCCCAAUGUCGAUCAUUGCUGCUGGAGAGUUGGAAUUUUUUUUUGAAGAAAACCACUUGAGAUUAGAAAAUAGCUUUAUCUAAAUCAUUAGAUGGGAUGUUUUUUGAACAACUGACCAUAUUGGUUAUUUCCCUUGCUAAUUUUUUUUUUCCUAUUUCUUUUUUUUUGGGUAUAUUAGUGCAGAAAAUAUAUCAUAAUAUCUUGAUGUCGUUCAAGUUAUACAAUGAAAAAGAACACGAGGCAAAAACUAUUACCUGCAUUACUAAAUUCGUCAGCCAGAGAUGUGCUAUCAGGAUCGGAUCUCUUAUUUUCUGUAGCACAUACAAUGUUACGUCAGAAAUCCUUGUGGAGGAAGUUUGAAUAAGACCAAAUGAACAAAAAUAUAGUGAAGCACCCACCAAAAUAGGAAAAUGCGUUAUGACGUGAUAUAUAAGAUGCAAUAUCAGUUGUCUCUUCAAUUCUCUUGCGUUUCCUCCGCUUAGUAGCUUUUAUUUGUAGGCACUGACUAGAAAACGGCAAUGACUUUGAACCAGAUUCUUCUAAUAUAAACUGAUCAAAUGCUGAAUGUUUUCUCUGAUCAUAUGCUGCAAGUGCCCGGGAAUAAUUCAAUUCUUGUGAUUCAAUUUCUUUAAUUCUCAACUCCAUCCAUUUGCAGCGCCACAUUACAGGACGUAUAAAGGUCCUCCAGUGAUUUGUCAACUUCUUCUUCCUGAAAUAGAAAUAGAAGCAGUUGGGACAGUAAGUCAACAGAUCCUGUUGCUACAGUUUAGUCAGAAUAAGUCAAAACUUGAAUUAUCAAUUUAGUAGAAAGCAAAAUCUAGCCUUGAAAUUCAUAUCUUCAAUAAAUGGGAAACAGGAAUUCAGUUUGCUUUCUUUUACAGCCCUCUUAUUCUAAUGAUGAUCAUCCGCGUAGGCAUCAAUCCUUAAGGAGAAUGGAUGGCCGUGUCCAUUUCAGUGUACACUCAGUUUUUCAUGUGUGCUCGACAGUCAGAACAAGCCAUAAAAUUUCCCAUCUAGUAAAAGAGUUUUAAUGUACAAAGUAGAUUGCUACUCUUCAAGACAAUGAAAAGAACUAUUUUUUGUGCCAAACUUCACGGAAACUGUCUUUACUAGCAUCUUCAACAAGCCAUGUAACAGCUUGUAACAUACAACUAAAAGAACAACUACUGUACAUAUUACACUAGAAUGAAACAAACAGAAUUUGGUAUGAAAAUAUCAUCUAGAUGCUGAGUAAGAAAUUAGAAUGACUAAAUGCGGUAAGAACUGUGACACACCUCAUUUGAAAUGCAUUACUAAAUGCAUUAAAGGCAGAUGUCAAACCAUUUUCCGGAAAGAACUGGGAUUCCACUUCAGCUUCACUAAAUCCAGAAAAAUUCUCAGUGUCAGACUCAGUGUCUGCAAAGGAGCUUGAAUAUUCAGUUGCAUCCGGGUCUUCAGUUUCAGCCAGCAAGCUGUGGUUAUGAUUAUUUCUGCAUUCAACUAUGUCAACAUCCACAUCCGCAAUGCACAUCAAAGCCUCGUCUCUUCCAUUCAGGACAGCUUCCAUCCUAAUGGAAGUGUCAUCACAGUUAGUCACGCAAUUUCUGUCCUCCAAAGAUGAGUUUUCUAGGGAAGUUCUGUUCUCUGUAUCGAGUUCAAGUUUUGCAUUGAUACAUGGUUGACAGUCUUGGUCAAUGUCUGUAAAUGGUUGGGCAGGUGCCAUAGCAGUAGAAUCAGUCUGUUUUUAUUGGAUAAUGAUGCUCCAAGACAUUCCUUUCUGGCUUUCCUUAAAGGUGAUGCAACCAGUUCAUGUUAGCAGUGUGCCAGAGUCCUAAAGUCCAAAAAAACAAAACAUCAAUAACUUUAGAGUCAUUAAAGUUAAAACGUUGGAAAGAAACAUCAAUGAUGUGAAUCCUACUAUAUUAAUGUGGACUAUUGGACAUCCAGAGCAAAUAUCAGAUAUUGUCAUGCUUUGCGAGAGGGAACACAAAAGGUGGGUUGUAUCAACUGCUUGGUACUGAGUGAUACAUUGAACUUAUUGUGGGUAAAGCAAACACAUGCUGCCGACAAGAAUGCAUAUUAUAAUUGUACAACUGUAAAUCACAUUUCAGCAACCAAAUUUCAUUAAUAUAGAAAGAAACAAGAAUCUUCUUUUUUGUAUGCUCAAAUAGCAAAGGUUAACACAAACGUGAAUUUAUCUAUAUGGAACCUUGUUUAGAGUAGUCUCCAAGAAGAACAUAAGCAGUGCAAUGAGUGCCAAAUCAGACAUAAGCGAGCUUGGAAAUCAUUUUGGUAUCUAUAUAAUGUAACCCAGAAAUUCGUAAUAAGAGUUUAUAAGUCAUUUCGGUUUCAAUUGUUCCUCGUGUUAAGUCAUUCAAAUCUUGUCCUCUGUUUCAUAGGACUAAAGCAUUUGUCUAUUUCAAUCCUAAACUUGGUAAAGACAGGAGUAACUUAAGGUUGUCAGAUUUCAAACUUCUAUUGAAGAAUUCAUGUACACAAGCAAGAGUUCAUGUUCAGAAGAUACCUAGCUGGUUGGCGGCUGAGUGAUUAUUCGAAACUGGGUAGUCUAGCUCAGCCAGCUCUUGCGUUUUUCCUCAAACUUUCCCUUCAACUGAGACUGUGAAGAGAAAAUUCCAAGACAUAAAAAAGGAUCAUAAAUUCAAAAACAGAAUCAUGAUAUCAUUGAAGAAACAAAGAAGGAAGGCAUGCAAAAUUGAAGAGCCUACUUACCUUUGAGAGAGUGAGAGAGACAGAGAGAGAGUAGUGAAACUGUGUGAAAGCUUUGGCGGCCUUGGCUCGACUCCUACUCUCCUUGCUUAUAUACUAUUUGGUAUUUUUUUUUUUUUUUGGAAUCGUGCAUUUUCGUUUUUUUGAUACUCUCUUCAAAACUAUAUAUUGAAAUCAGAUCAGAACAUAAACAUAAACAUAAAACACACCUAAGAAGUAAGAAUUAAAACUCUCUUAGAUAAUUUUUAUAUUGUAAACCAUAGGCAUUGCACAUCCUAGAAAAACCAAAGUAUUGUAACCAAAGUAACCAGACCCUGGCACAUCAACCGCAUCUAAAUCCAGCACUUUCUGAGCUCCGAAUGAACGCUUCCUUGCUCUCUUUGGACCAGACUUAGCCAAUGUCUUCCCAGCUUCCUCUGCACGCUUCUUGUUCUUUGAUCGUUUCGGACGCCCUAGCUUCCUUUUCUUUGCCGGAGAGACAACAAUGACCACCCCCCCAGAAUGAUUGAGAGCCAUUUCCUGUGAAAAGGAUAACUCAUAGGGCACCCAUACCUACGGUUCCAAUUCACCAUCCCCUCAGCCAUGCUUUCCCAUUGUCACUAGAGCCAACUCCGGUCCUAUUUUGACACCCACCACAAAAGAAAUAGGGGUUAUGAAAUUUAUUAUUUAAUCAAGGUCAUUAAUUUAUCGAAUAUUCAUUUAUCGAGAUUUUACUGUACAACUACUAGAAAUGAAAUAUAUAUAUAUAUAGUCUUUCUCAGGUAAAGAUAUUCUUAUUUAUUCUUACGGUGCAGAUUUCUACUUUAGACUCAUUUUUCAAUCGAAUUUUUAUAUCUCCACUAUCUAGUCUUUAGAUACUAAUGUAUUGAUCAUCUCCGCAAAAUUUCAGCCAAUUUGGUUAACAUUAAGGCACUCAAAACUGCGUUUUUCUGUUAUAAACAUGAACGGUUUAAGUUCAAUAGAAUUAUGUUCGUCCAUUGGUUUAAUCAAAUUUGAAUGCCUUAAUGAUAACUAAAUUGGCUGAAAUUUUGCAGAGAUGAUCUAUACAUUAGUAUCUAAAGACUAGACGAUGAAAAUGUGAAAAUGUGAAAAUAUGAAAAUUUGAUUGAAAAGUGAGUCUAAAGUGAAAAUCCGUAUAGUAAAAAUAAAUAAAAAUCUCCUUAACCAAGAAAGCCAAUAUAUAUAUAGCCCUUUUUGGCUGCGGACGUUCGCACCGAAGGUUUCGGUGCGGAUUUCCAUUUUUGCACCACUUUCCGAUCGAAUUUCCUCAUCUCCACCGUCUAGUAUCUAGAUAAUAUUGUNNNNNNNNNNNNNNNNNNNNUAUAUAUAUAUAUAUAUAUACAUGGCCCUUCCAAUGAGGGAUCCCUAUUUUUUUGUCACUUUUAGGGAUAUGCCCACAUCAUUAGAUAUGUUUUUUAAUGGGCUUGGAUGACUGAGAUUAAAAUAAAAAACUUAACACUUAUGUCAAACCUACACCGUUUAAGAUCAUUAAAAAUAAAUCAAACAUUUGGAUGACUUAACGAUCACUAAAUUUUCUGAAAAUUUGCAGAAGUGAUCUACUCAUAUACACCUAUAAACUUAACGGUAGAGAUAUGAUUUAGUGAUCGGGAAGUUUGUCAAAUACCCUAUCCCUAAAAAUGAACAAAAAAAGGGAUCCCUCAUUGGAAGGGCCAUGUGUGUGUGUGUAUGGAGUCGUUCGAGAGCGGAUGUCUGCACCACUCUUAAAGUGCGGACAUCCUUCCUUUUGCCACCGUACAGUGCCGGCGAGAGCGCACCUCCACCCCAAUGGACUCCAGCAGCGUCCCCGAUCACUUUCCAUCCCCGGCGAGUCAAUCAAAUUCCAGUUUUCUGGCCAGAUCGACUUUGUUUGAAGUUUUGGGUGAUCUAAGGGAAAGUGGUCGGGGAUGCUGCUGGAGUCUGCUGGGGUGGAGGCGCGCCCUCGCUGGCGCCAUAUGGUGGCGAACGAAGAGACGUCCGCNNNNNNNNNNNNNNNNNNNNNNNNNNNNNNNNNNNNNNNNNNNNNNNNNNAGAGAGAGAGAGAGAGUAGAGUAGACAAGCUGAUCGAUAUGGCUUUGGGAAGAGGCAGUGCGAUGGCGGUGCUUGUGGUGUUUGUGCUGGUGGUGCUAAGCUCGGAGUGGGCCGAUGCGGCAACCUACACUGUUGGAGACAAACGUGGUUGGACGUUCAACGUUGCUGGGUGGCCGAAAGGAAAGACUUUCCGAGCCGGUGACACACUUGGUAAUUUGUAGUUACUCGCUCUAAGCUUUGCUAGCUGCACAUUUCACACACGGGUUUUUGUAAUUAAUCCUUCAAUUCCCAUAUAUAGCUGAUGAUUGACUACAGAUAUCAAUCUUGCCCAUAUAUGCUUAUAUAUGAUCAUUAUUCUUUGUUGGUGUAGUUUUCAAUUAUGGGUCUGCUGCACACAAUGUUGUAGCUGUGAACAAAGUGGGGUACCAGAAAUGUAGCACAACUCCAGGAAAUGCCAGAGUGUAUCAGACUGGGAAUGAUAAAAUCAGACUUGCCAAAGGACAGAACUUCUUCAUCUGCAAUUUCCCUGGACACUGCCAAUCUGGAAUGCAAGUUGCCAUCACUGCAGUCUAGAGAUCGAUAAUCAUCUGGAAACAAAAGCUAGAGCUAAGCUAACAAUACCUGGCCUAUACUAGCUAGGAUUCAAUAUGUUAUCGAUCAUAUCCUACGUAUCUUAAUGUAUCCACUCUAUGUACUAAGCUGGAUAUAUGUGUGUUAAGGGUCGAUAUAUAGACUCAUUACUACUUUUGUGGAUGAAGAAAUAAUAUUGGGGGAGACGUAAUAUGAGAAUUAAGGAAAUGGUCUCUUUAGUGCAUAAUAUAUAUAUAUAUAGACACACAGUUUCUUUUAAAGCGGAACACCGUUUUAAAAUUAAAGUGUGGUGCUCUUUAUUUCGCUCGCUUUUAGGUCACAUUUUCAUAUCUCUACCAUUCAGUGUCUAGAACAUAGUGUGUAGAUCAUUCAUAUAAAAUUUCAUCCAUUUUGGAGAUCAUUUGAGCUUCUGUAAUUGUGAUAUAUAUAUAUAUAUAUAUAUAUAUAUAUACGAACGAAACGANAGAGAGCGCACGUNNNNNNNNNNNNNNNNNNNNNNNNNNNNNNNNNNNNNNNNNNNNNNNNNNUUCCUACAAAAUUUCAUUCAGAUUGAUGAUCGUUUAGGUACCGAAUUAGAUUACAUUAAUGAACAGACCAUAAAUAUGUCUAACCAAAACUGUUUGUGUAAAUCACGAUUACGAACACCCAAAUGAUCAUCAAAUUAGAUGAAAUUUUGCAAAAGUGAUGUAUGCAUUAGGUUUUACAAACUGAACGGUGAAGAUGUGAAAAUAUGACCGAAAAGUUAGUCAAAUAAGAAACUUCACGCAUUAAUUUCAGAGUGAAGCUUCGCUCUGGAUAAGAACUGAUAUAUAUAUAUAUAUAUGGGCCCUUCUAAUGGGGGAUCUCUUUUUUUGUUCAUUUCUAGGGAUAGAGUAUUUGACAAACUUUCCGAUCACUAAAUUACAUCUCCACCGUUCAGUUUGUAAGUGUACAUGAGUAGAUCACUUCUGUAAAUUUUCAGAAAAUUUGAUGAUCGUUAAGUCAUCCAAAUGUUUGAUUUAUUUUUGAUGAUGUUUGACAUAAGUGUUAAGUUUUUAUUUUAAUCUCAGUCAUCAAACCUCAUUAAAUAACAUAUCUAAUGGUGUGGGCUUAUCUCUAAAAGUGACAAAAAAUAAAGAUCCCCUCAUCGGAAGGGCCCUAUAUAUAUUCGUAUUUUUCAUUACAUCCUGUUUAAACACGUACGCAUCAAACUUUUUAAUUUGCUUUUGAAAAUGUGAGUCUUCUCCAAUUUUUAGAAAAUGAUUUCUAUUUGCUUUUGAAACUUUUCUGUUGAUGAUAAUUAUUAAAAAUGUUACAAUUUGAUUAGGUUAUAUUAUUGAAUUUUAAGAGUCUUUGGAGGAUUGCUUAAGGUUGUCUUAGUAAUUUAAACUAGUAAUUUCUUACGUAAUUCCAUGUGUUCUUGACUUUCUUAUACAGCUUGACAUUUUCUUGGUAGUGAAAAAAAAAAAAACUUUUCUUUGAUAAGGCAUAUAUGUUGUUGUCUUAUAAAUAUUAUAUUAUCGUUUUUUUCUUGUCUCUUGGAUGUUAUAUUGUUUCUUCUUGUGAGUCUAUGACAAAAGUUGUGUUUCGGUAUAUGAGUUGUUAUCAUGAUCUUAAUGCGUGAAAAUGUAACUGUUUGAGAAGUUUGAAGUUUCAUUAUCAUGUUCUUAAUUAGUGUUUGCUGCUGGUGCUUUUUUUUUACUAAGCAUAGAUAAUGAAUAAGUAAAUAAAGCACGAUGAAGAAGGUGAUCAAAACAGCGAUUUGUAUGAACGGUUCAGGUUGGCAAAUUUGAUCCAUCUAUUGAUUUAAGCGAAUUCGAAACCUUAAAGAUCAUCAAUUUAGAUGAAAUUUUACAUAAAAGAUCUACUCAUAUGUCUAUAUAGUGAAUGGUAUAGAGGGCCCCUUCACUAAAAGAUCUUUUAUUGUGGCUUAUAUGAGAGAUGAGUCAUUUGAUAAAUUUUUCGAUCACAAAAUCACAUCUCCAUCACUUCUACAAAGUUUCAGAAACUUUAGUGAUCGUUAAGGAAUUCUAUUGGCUAGGAAGCCUUAGAAUAUGCUUUUUACCGAGUCACUCAUGACUCGCCCAUGAUAAAAAUAAUGUCACAUAAAUAAAGAAAUAAAUAAAAGUACAAGAGGAAAUGAGAAAGGCUCACCAAAAGGAAGGGAACAAGGCUCCCACAUCGAAAUUAAGGGGAGAGUCCGGUUCUAGAGAGAGACAUCCUUAAACUCUUAAAAUGAGGAUUGUUUUUUUAAUUUUUUUUUAUUUAUUUUUAUAAAGGGGUUUGGAACCCAGCCUACCUAAGAGGCUCAGUCCCACGCCCGUUAUUAAUAUUAAUAGAAUUGUGUACCACCAAGGGGGAUGUAAUAUCUUUACCUCGGAGUGCACUAGAAGCAUUACAUGAAUCCUCAUAGAGGACAUCUUAUAAGAAAAUAGGAACUAAAUCAACAUUUAGCUCUACUACAUUAUUAUAACUAGCAAAAUGGGCUAACCUAUGAGCACCAUUAUUUACUUUGCGAUUGAUAUGUCUGACCACACUACUGUUCAAUAAAAUCAAAUAGGCACGACAAUUUUCAAUAAUCCGACUAAUCUCCAAGCAGUCACUGUUCUCACCAUUCAGAGCCGCCACCAGAACUUCAUAAUCACUCUCAACCUCAAUGUCGAGCCAACUUUGUUCUACUGCUCUCUUCAACCCUUCUCUGCAUGCCAACCUCAAAGUGAGGAUGUUUUUAGUUUUAGCUUGUAUUUUGAUAAUCAAAGCCACUCAUUCCCUAGUUACCUACCCACAUAUGAAUCCUACAAAAAAAUUAGCCAAAAUAGAAAAUGUUUAACCAUUUGAUUAGCAAAAUAUUUGUUUUAUUUUAUUUAAUGACCUACAAUUGUUUACGUCAUUUUGAAUGACCAAAUGAUUAUAGAAUUAGUUGAUAUUUUGUAGACAUGGUUCUUGCAUAUGAAUCUAGAGGAUCAAUGAUUAAAAUCUUUAAAUGAAGUCAUCUACUAGUGUAAAAUAGUAGAACUCCUCAAAUUCUUAAAGUAAGGAUGACCCUCUCUAAACACACACAAACACAGUCCGGAUCAAGAGAAGACAUAUGUGAAAGAGCUAAAAUGCGGACGAAGAUGAAAUGAAGUGAAGAUGAAUCCUCUAGAAAAAGAAGGCAUGUAGAUCAUUCUCUAUGUCCUCAAUAGUCAUAUAUUUUCAUCGAGAAAGAGAAGGCAUAUACGAAAUUCGAAUUCCUUCCAAUCCUCCACUCACCCACCAUUCUCACAAGGCCAUCCCUGUUGACACUCUUAAAAUGCAUGUAUCUCUAAUCCUCAACACUUUCAAGAUUAUCUGUGGGGGUAGUAAAUUAUUUUAGACCCAUAAUGAAGACCCUUAUUUUAGUCUUAACAUGACGGUAAAUGUCGACAAUGAAGUGACAUGGCAUAGUAAUAGUGUGCAAUAAUUAACCGCCUUAAAUGCAACUAUAAUUGUCAUUAAUCCUCCAUCAUAAGUGAGUGAGUAAAUAUAGAUAUAAAAGCAGGUAAUUAUGAUGACUUGACGCAUGAGUUAUGGGUUAUUUGUUAUGCAAGUUUACUUGCAUCUCAAGUAGCUAUUCACUUAUAAAUAGUAUGCUUCAUAACUGGGUAAGAAAUCUCAUUCCAUCCUGGUUCUCUCUACUGAGUUAAGAGUGUUUCUAACUUGAGCGUCGGAGGGUUUUUGGGUGAGCACCCACUCCAGUCCAUAAUUAUUGGUGCGUGAAAAUCCUCAAAGGAAUUUUUUGUCACCAAAAACAUCUAAUAACAACAUUCAAUUUAACAAAUAUCAGGAUCAAACCCAAAAUAUUAACUCUCCAAAUAUCAAAUAGAUAGAUCUCCACAACACCUCCUUAAAUUUUAGUUAGCCACACUCAAUUGGAGAGCGAAUAUAGAUUAAUCCAGCCAUGAAAGCCUAAGAUCAAAUCUGACACAGAGGCAAUCGAGGGAAAAAUUUAGGGGUAAGAAGCAGAGGAAAGUGGGUGAGAGAAGAGAGAGCACGUACAAAAUAGUCAAAAGCUCUUUAGUUCGAUAUAGAAGAGUGAGGAAGAGACGUGAGUGGAGGGACCUACAUGAAAAUGAAAGAACUUGUGAAUGAAUGACACGUGUCCGUCCACAUUUUAGCUCUUUUACGGACGCCCUUUCUUAAUCUGGCUUAUAAGAGGUACGGGACAGUACAUCAACUUUUUGAUCACAUUUUACCAAAGCUACCGUUCACUUUGUAGCUCUAUAUAAUUAGAUCAUUUAUGUAAAUUUUCAGCCAAUUUCGUGAUCGUUAAGGUACUUAAAACUGUGAUUUAAAAUUAUAAUUAAGCAUGAAUGGUUUAUAUUUCGCAGAAUUGGUACAUAUUAGUUGACAUUUUGCAUAAAUGAUAUACUCAUAUUUACUUAGAUGUUGAACGGUGGAGAUGUUGAUAGAUAAUAAAAGUUGGAUUAAUAAUCGAUCCCUUAUAUUGACCCAAAAAAAAAAAUCCCUUAAUAGAAUGACCUUGUAUGUAUGUGUGUGUAUACAAGACCCUUCCACUUAGGAAUUCAUUUUUUGACUUAUAUGAGGAAUUGAAUAUUAGACUAACUUUUUGAUCACAUUUUUCAACCUUAACGGUUCAGUCUUUGUACUAAUGUGUAGAUCAUUUCUGCAAAUUUUCGUUCAAGAGGCUAAUGUCUUUAAGGCCAGUGUCUAGUGUCAUUCUAAAUUACGAGAACACCCAUAAAAAUAUAUUAUAUGAGAAGAACCCGUUAUAGUUUGGGCCUAAAGUCGCAUAAUGAUAAUACCCGACCCGUCAUCGUUGGGGUUUCAGUUAAAACCCUAGUCGCUACGCGGUAUCAAAACUCCUUUUUGCCGCUCGUAGUAGAAGACCAGAAGCAAAGCAGAGAGCAGAAGCCGCCCAAAACCCUAACCACCAUGCCCAAGUCUAAGCGCGAUAGGCCUGGUAUUCCAUAUCGUCUUCUACAAACACAGAUAUUUGAAAUUGUAUAUGAUUGCUUAGAACUUAUUUUGGGUCUUAUGAACAUGAGUUUGAUAUGAAUGAUAAGCUCACCUCAACUUCUCCUUAGCUCAGCAACUGAAAUGAUUGGUCUUGUGAAUAUUUGUUAUUGUUUGUCUGAUUGGUUUGGUGGGUUUUGGGUGCAGUUACAUUAUCCAAGACAAAAAGGAAGGGAAGGGAACACAAGGAAGCUGUGGUGAAUACGAUCAAACAAGCUGCCGAAGAUUACAAUUCAGUAUAUGUCUUCUCUUUUGAGAACAUGCGCAAUCUAAAAUUCAAGGAGUUCAGAGACCAGCUCAAAUCAACCAGCAGGUAAGUUUUUAAUUUCGUGUCGCCUCUGAGAUGCUCAGUUUGGUACUGAAAUUGACUCUGCUGAGUUAGGUCAAUUGGGUUGAUCAUGUAGUAUGUAUUGGCUCUGAGUCACUAAUAUUCAUGUGUCUACACCAUUAUGUGUAAUGGUAUUUUGACUCUGAUGGCAUGUCAGUGUUUCUCCAUAAUCAAAUUGGAUGUUCUAUUUCCCUAAUUUUAAGUGCUCUGCUGUAAAGCAAUUUUGCCAACAGCAAUUUUUCCAAGUUACGUUGUCUAAAAUUUCUUAUUCAUGUAGUCUUCAAUAUGUGCAUGUGUCUCAUGAUUAGUUUUAUGUUUGCUCAGAUUUUUCCUUGGUUCCAACAAAGUCAUGCAAAUUGCACUUGGCCGAUCUGAAUCUGAUGAGAUCAAAAGCGGACUUCACAAAGUUUCUGAGGUGAGACUUUUUUGCACCUCAUGUAUUUAGUUUCCUCUCUUGAAAUUGGUUGCAUUUCUUUUCUUAAACAGUUUGUUGAUCUUCCUUAGGUUCUCCAUGGAAAUGCUGGACUUUGCUUUACCAAUUUGCCAAAGGAAGAGGUUGAGAGGUAGACAUUUAAGCUUUGAUAUCUGUGAACAGUUUUCUUAAGGAUUCUGGGAGGAAUGUAUUGUAGAUUCCAGUGACAUACAUGUUCACAAGCUUUGGGAAUAUUUGAUGUUAUCCAUCUUAAUGGUUACUUUUGCCUUUUGUCAAUUACUUUCCUGUAUAAGAAUAACUUACUAGCAGUUCAAGCAAUUUGUUAAUGAUUAUUAUAAAAAAAUGUGGAUUGAGGAGUUGUUUGUAAUUAGAGGAACUUGCCCCCUAGGUCCAAUUUAGAAACUACAAGCCAAGUCCAACUAGAUACAUGCUGGCAUGGUGAAGAAUUAGAGUACUUCUGUUAAUUUUCAACACAAGGAUUUUCUGAUCUGGUAGGGGAGACUCAAGCUGUAUCAAGAUUUAAGAAUUCCAUCCUUUGCUCAUGUUUAACUCUCAAAUCUUCAAGUCUAAAUGUGCCCAUGUAUUCUGAUUUAAAUUUCUUGAUGUUCAAUUUUUUUUCUUCUUUCAGGCUGUUUAAUGAAUAUGAAGAAUAUGAUUUCGCAAGGACAGGAAGCAUUGCAACAGAGAAGGUAUUUAUUUGUGUGUAAAUUAUGUAGAUCAGAGCGGGCGUAUAAGUUUGAUCUUGUGUCUGGCUUGGGACUACUCUACUUGAUAGCAUUCAAUUAUCUCCGCAUGAUCUCUUGAAAUGAGUCUCAAUUCAAAUCGUUCAGGUCGAGCUUCAGGAAGGUCCUUUGGAGAUGUUCAGUCAUGAGAUGGAGCCAUUUCUACGGAAACAAGGGAUGCCUGUUCGUUUGAACAGAGGUACCUAUUUGCAUUUAUUUGCUAGUCUUUUUAUGCAUGUAACAGAAGGCAAUGAUUACCCAUCUUUGUGUUUCUGCUUGUAGGUGUUGUGGAGCUUGUUGCUGACUACGUUGUUUGUGAGCAAGGAAAGCCUUUGUCACCUGAGUCCGCUCGUAUACUGGUUCGUUCCAUUCUCGAAUUGCUUGACUAUGAAGUUCCAUUGUUUGGUGUUGUGCUCCUUAUGCCGAAAGGAUUUUCUAUUCCUACUAGUUAAUGAUGUCCUUAGCGGUCUUACUUUGAAGUUCUACUUGCUCUUGUGUGUGUGGAUAUCUUUUUGUUAGUUUACCUGUACGACUUUGUUUGCUUAUCUUGCCCAUUAUUGUUGUUGAAUGGAUUGGCCCGAAAACGCUUUUGCAUGCACUGUAAUAUUUUUUGCAUUGGCUGAUCCAUUGACCAUGAUUUGCUCUGAUUGAUUGGCCUGUGUAAAAUUUCAGCGUGUGCCUCAUCCUACCGCUGCCUGUGUUAUUGAUAGGGUUUCAAGUACAUCAAACUUUUUCCCAUUAUUUUUUGCUUUAUAUUUGUUAUUGAUGGACUUUGUGCAUAACUGUUCUUGUUGCGGCUGUUGCUAUGAUUUUCUGCUAGUUUUUGAAUUUGUUGAAAUUUGAUAUUAGAGAAAGGGACCCUUAGAGAAACUAAUGUGCAGUAAUGGUAAUAUAUAUACAGCGUUCGUUGGGAUCGAAGACGGCUACCUUCCGACUCCAUUUAAUUUGCAGAUGGAGCCCUGGUGAAUUUGAACUCUAUGUUCCUGGACCAAGUGAUUCGGGUGUAGAAUCCUCAUAGAUGCUGAUCUGAAAUCAACAUGUAUUUUAGUGGAAGGCGAAUGGGACCAGGGUGGGGGGGGUGGGAAUGUUAUGUUUGCACUACUGCGAGAUAUGUAACGGUGUGCUACCUUUGGCCAUUUUUGACCCUGGGUUUAUCAUUUUUGUGUUCGGCCGUACUUUGUAGCGAAUUGCACUUGAAUUUUUGGUGAAUAUGAUUUGGCCUAUUGUAUUUACCUUGGAACUUGUAAAAGUUUAAUUUGCUAGUUAUUACAAGAAAUAUUGGUGUCGUGUGGUUUCAAAUUACUGGACUACUGUCCAUCCAUAUAGGAUCUGCUGGUGUAAUUCAGUCGACCCUUGCAGUGAGCGAGCAAAAAUAUGAAUGAGUUGAUCCGGUUGGAUGGUGAUCCAUUUUGGUUAUAAUUGAGUUGACAACUAAUCCCUACUGUUGUGAACUGUAUGUAUCCUGUUCGAUUUUGGUUCUUCAUAUGCGACAGGUAUACCUUAGCCAUUGCUUAUUUUGAAGAACCUUCUGUUUCAAUGGGUUCUUGCUUUAGAAAAAAUUAUGCAAAUCGGAUCAUGAUUGAUUAACGUUAUGGUGGCUCUUUGGCUCCUCAUUUGCUGCUUUGGACCCCUAUGUAUCUUUGAACUUCCAAAAAGAGACCCAAAAGAGACCCGCAUCUAGGAUUUCACCAAUACCACCCAGUUACCUAUACGAUUUCACCAAUACCUAUACACCCAGUUACAAACUGGACAUUAAGCAUUUUGAAAAAGCCUCCAAGUAGCCUUGGCUAACAUAGCUUGGUUCAUAUGAGCUGUUCCCAGACCACCAAUGAAACUUUUACUUCUCAUUCGAAUCACCCCGCAAAAAAAAUCUCUAUUAAGCUUACCAAUUCUAUCACAAAAUAUUAUAUCUCACUUCUGCAAUGAAAACACCCAAGCUGGAUAGAUCGAUUCCCUGCUGCUAUAAGGCCUGUGUCAACAUCAAACAAUCGGUCUCAAAGAGGGGACUUUGCUAUAUUGCCAGCAAAGCAAGAAGCUCGGAGUGAAAGGGUACGCCUUACUCGCACCUGCCUGGAAGAACGUCCCUCAACUCUUAUAAAUAUGCAUUAAAAAACAAUCAGGCCUGUUACCGCAAUUUCCCGACCUGUAACAAUUAAAGAAAAGUAUAUGCAUUACCAUAAAAGCUUGGAAACUGACGUUAGAAACAUAGGAAGAUGUGUGCACUUGAGAUAUAAACAUCACACGUACACCAAUAUAUGGAGGUUCAACUCGUACAAAACCAAGCUUUUUAAGUCUGAAAAGAUGAGCAAUAUCAGAUGGAACAUAGCCAUGAACAUCACAAUCAGUGGCGUAGCCAGAAAUCUUACCUAAGAGGGUCAUAAUCUGUACAACAACAAUUUUUUCUUUAGAAUCAAUCUUUAUCAAAAUAAAUUUCACAUAUUUUGGUUUAUGAUAAAUCUCUUUCAAACAAUUACAAUUAGAGUCUGACGAAUGAGUGCGGCUAUUGAGAUCUCUAAAUUUGUUCAGUAUGUCUCUCAUUCUCUCUACACCUCCCUUUUACUUUCAAUAUAAACAUUUUCUCACUCGAUCUCGUUUCAAAUUCCUAACAUAAUCUUAGUUAUUUAUUGACAUAUAUUUCAAUUAAUUACUUUAAUUAUUAUUCACUCAAUAGACCNNNNNNNNNNNNNNNNNNNNAUAUAUUUUCUAUAAUCAAUAUAUAUAUAUAUAUAUAUAUAUUAUUUUGACAAAAUAUUUAUGCACCUUGCAAGUAUAUGCGUUCAACAUAGAUGAUAAUACAAAAUUUUACGUCACAUGAUCGAUAUUUGAUCAUUGUUUUAUCUCUUAUAAACUAUGUAUAUAUAUAUAUAUAAAUAUUAUAUAUAUAUCAAAUAUUAUAUAUAUAUAUGCUUUGAUAAAAAGAAAUUAGAAAACGAAAAUAUAUAAGGAAAAUAAUAAAGAAUGUAAUCAAUUAUUAUUAAAUUGGAAAGUCUAAAGAGAAUAAAUAUAAUAUUUCCUUUUGUAUAACUAUUGUCCUUAAUAAUAAUUGUGUAUGAGGAUAUAUAUAUCAUUUAAUAAUUCACAAUAGAGAAUUAUUUGUAUUGAUUGAUGAAUCAAUGAUACAUUUCUUCAUAGAAUAAUUUUAAAUACACACCCUUAAUCUCUUAAUACACACAUUUUACUUAAUACACUACCCAUCUAGUUUUUCAUUUUAAUAUUAUACUAAAUACACAUCUUAAACUACCUAAAAUACCCUCAAUAUCUCUAAAACUAAUAAUAAUCUAUUAUUUAAUAUAAUUUUUAUAUAUUUACUAUUUCACAACUCUCUUUACGUAUUCUCUUUUAUUUUAUGUUAGUUUUUUUUUAUCAGGUUAGAAAUUUUUUCUUGAUAUUUUUCGAUUUAUAAUCAAAAGAGUAAUAUUAUAUUCGAACUCCAAAUCUCCAAUAUGACAUCAAUCGGCCAGAAUUUGAAGAAAAAAAAAUAUUGAACAUACAUAAUUUUUUUUAAGUUAAAAAACUAGCAGAAAUACAAUAGCAUAAAAACUAUUUUUUAGUCUGCAAGAUAAAAACUAAAGUUGAUAAAAAAAAAUCAAAUCAAUAUGUAAAUAGUACAUGUGAUUACGACAAUAGUCGAAAUUCAGGUGAUGAAUUUUAGAAAAGAUGUUUUUAUUUCUUUUCUUUUGUUGUGUAGUAAUAUAGUGGAGAAGAGUUGGGCUUUAGGGGAAGAGGAAGUUUUUUUUUUUUUCCUAAUAAUUGAUUGAUGUUUUUGUAAUUAAACAUACCUAUAAAAUCUGAUGUGAAAUAUAAAAUAAAAGAGGUGUGUAUUUAAAAUUUCUUUUCUUCAUAAAUCAACUAAAUAUCAUCGAAGCAGUAGAAAUUGGGUUGCUUGGUCCUCUAUGAAUCUACAUUUAGAACCUUAAUCGAAUGAAUUAAGCUCUAAAAAAUUAUGAGCAUUGCCAAGAAUUUAAGGUGUUUUGUUUAAUUGAAUUGGGUGAUCAUAUGAGCAAUACAAAAUUCUACUUUCAGCUUAUGUUUUUAGUCUUUGACUUUCCGUCCAUAUGAGAGUGAGAAAACGAGAAAAAUGAGAGGAAACUCAUCUACGGAAAAAGAAAAAAAGAUGAGAGGGAAACGCAGACAAUGUGAGAAAAUGAGGAAGAUGAAAGAUGAGAGGAAAAUCGUCUUCGACCAAAAAAGAAAGAUAAGAGGAAAACAUAGAGAGAAUAUAUUAGUAAAUGAAAAAAGAAAACAAAUUAAAAUAUAUACAGUUCAAUGAUCGAUUAACUAAUUAAAUACAACAAAAAUUUAAAAAAAUGAGAUGGACUUGGGUAAAUGGUUCAAGCUACUCUAUACUUUUUUUUAUGUUUCCUAGCAGAAUGGUCAUUUUUUUCAUUAACAAUUUCUCCGAGUUUGAGAUAGUUGAACCAAUUAGGAUUGGUCUCAGAAACUCAGAGAGGUCAUUUGACUCCUCUCGCCCUAGUGUAGCUACGCCUCUAAGCACAAUUGUACUGAAAUAAAAAAGCACAAGAAAUUUAGCUAUCAAACAGUGACAUUGAAUUCUUGCCCAAGUCUCACUUAUGCAUCACAUAUGAAUUUCACAUAUUCAUGAAAUUCAAGCUGGAAUUCUGAGCUUUGCUGGGAAACUCUCUGGACCGCAAGCAAUCAGUUGAUCUCUGGAUCGCCAACAAGCCACCACUUCUCAUCUUUAGCAUAAGGGUACCUCGGAGCAUCAACAGGGCCCAUAUCUGUCCCCCCGUCAAGGUGGGCUCAAGAUGCACUGAUAGAGUAAUCUGCCUGUUUACCCCCCACUAUCUUACUAUUCAACACAUGCACUGCACUGCGGCUGUGGGUGUAUUUAGGAAACCUUUAGCAAAAUCGUACAACAUCCAACAUCCUUUCAUCUGACAACAUAAGCAGCUUGCAUCUCUCAGCUUCAUUCAGUUGUAACAAAUCAUCAACUGUUUCUAUCCUCUUUUCAGCAUUACGUCUGCAUCUUUUUGCCAACUCUUAUGUGAAGAGAGGAAUUUGCAGGAGUUGCGAGUCACCAUGCCACACUCCUUGAGUCAACAUCUGGUUAACUUUCAUAGCGAGAAGAGCAAGGUGUAGACCUCUAUUUCUGAAACAGACAACAAUGACAUCAACCAUUACCUCCUGUCAGGGACGGAACUAGGGGUAGCUAGGGUUUGCUGCAGCCUACCCCAAGUUUUAGACUUGCAAAACUCAGUGUGUAUAUAUACCAUAACCAACACCCUUCAAAAAGACAAAAACCUCUACCAACUCUUUUUUUUUUUGAAAACUCGCUACCAACUCUUAUGAAUUGAAGUUUUGCAUACUCACCACCAACCUAUAUCGAUUUCUUCUUUAUGUUAUUACCAAGGUUAAUGAACAACUCAUUAACCUUUGUGUAUGAUUUUAACCAAGAAAAGAUGCCCACAUCAAUAUAUGCUCAAUUGCUCAUAAACUUAUAUAUACAUUCUCACAUGCUGAGAAACACAACCUCACUUAUUUUGAUGUUUAUUUUACUGGUUCUGUUUUAGUGAUAGAUCAAAAUCAAAAUAUUAAUGCCAACAAAGUUCUCAUAAGUAAAUCCAGUAUAGGCCUUCAUUAUAUUCAUAAAAAUGUUGUCAUUAUGAGUAAUAUUCCAAGUUCAUAUGAGCAAUAGCUAGUUAAAAGUGUCAUGCACUUGAUCGAUAUACCAUCAUACUAGAAUACACAAUAUUCUGCCAAGCUUUUGAAGAAUUUUUAUUUGGCAACAUAAGGUAAACCUAGCCCACCCGAAUUAUAAUCUAGCACACCCGGUAAAUCUCGAAUCUUGAUAAGAUCACACACGUCUAUUUCUGGAUUCAAGGAAGAACAAAAAACCUCUAUGGUACUAUAAUUGAUGCAGUUGUUUGAAGCUAUCUCACCAAGAUUCAAAGACAAAAGUGGUGUGGCAUCCUGAAUAAAUUUUCUAUCUAUCAAGUCCCUCAAUGUAUCUUCCCCAACCUUGAGACGUGACGAAAACUAUCCCCUUCAACACAACCAAUAGAAUGAUAGUUUGGAUUAGAUACGGCCCUAUGAUGAAAAUAAGUGGUUGCAAGGAAAUCUAAAGCCCCCUUCUUGUCAGUAAUGGUUCCAGCAACAACUUCUGCAUUUAGAAUAUCAUGUAGGUUAAGAGGUAAAUGGCUUUCAACAGACAAUGGCUCUCCCUUCUUAAGAACAUCCCCAUAGUAUGGUUGACUAGCCGUAUGGCAAAAGAUGAUACAUUUUGCAGAACCAUCCUCUUCAGGACAACGAGCACGACCCACCUGCCAAAAAGUCACCUUCAAGUAUAAGAGGCACAAGUAAUAGUAUAGGUAUUAAAAAAGGUUAUCGAAUCCACGAGGAUUAGAUUCCUUUCACUAGCUAGGGUGUUAACCUUAAAAAAGCUGGAAUGUAUAAAUGUACAAUCACAAACAUAAAUAUAUAAGGAAAUCUAGGCUCAUGGUAAGUAUGUGCAAUAUAGAGUAGUGAUUUGAUUUUGGGUUUUUGAAGUAGUUAACUAAACUAAACUAAAUGCUCAAAUGUAAAUUAAAUUACUCUAAACUAAACUAGUGGUCUAAUGAAUGGUGUUAGGAUUUGAAUUGUCUACACUAACCUCUCUUGCAAGUAUUGAUGCAAAUCACUAUGAAUGAUGCUAAGCUCAUCAACCAAUUUCUCUCCUUGCAUCCCUCUCGGGUAUGACAAGGGACAUGCUCCUUUUGUGGUAUCAAGCAACCCCUCUCGGGUGUAGUACUUAACUACUUAAGUCAUACAUUUCAAUCCGGUUAGACAUCUAAUGUAUUACCCUAAGUGCAUAAAGUUUGAAGAUGAAGAAACUAUGCAAACCAACCGAGCUUAUCUCUAAGUGAUUGUAAUUCACAACCCCUACAUGCACACCUAGUGUGUUUUCAUGCUUUAACAUUCAAAGGUUACCAAGCUCUAAACAUUAUCAUGUCAUGGCAAACACACAUACUCAAAGCGGUAAAUUCUAAACAUAUGCAUUCAACUCUUAAACUAGCAUGUAGGAAUGUUAACUAAAAUUGCAUCACAUCAUAAAAUAGCAUCAAUCCAUACAAGAUUGGUUAGGGCUUUCAACCCUAACCCCAACAAAGUACUACUCACUCAUAAUUACAUAAACAAACUCCAUAAUCAAAUCAAACAUCAAAAUAGAUCUAGAGUUUAAGGGAGAGAGCUGGCUUGGUGGUAUGUCGAUUUGUCCCCAAGUUCACGUCUUGGUGGUGGUGGUGAUGGUGGUGAUUCCCUCUCCUUCUUGCUCUUGA